rnacentral:rRNA from 1 species
UACAGAGGUCCCGAGCGUUGUUCGGAUUCACUGGGCGUAAAGGGUGCGUAGGUGGCUGGGAAAGUUUAUGUGAAAGCUCAGGGCUUAACCCUGAAAUGGCAUUGAAUACUGCCUGGCUGGAGGUUUGGAGGGGGGACUGGAAUUCUUGGUGUAGCAGUGAAAUGCGUAGAUAUCAAGUGGAACACCAGUGGCGAAGGCGAAUCCC